rfam:Phytophthora infestans T30-4 supercont1.24 genomic scaffold, whole genome shotgun sequence.
ACCCGUCUAGCUCAGUCGGUAGAGCGCUGGCCUUUUAAGCCAGUGGUCGUGGGUUCGAUCCCCACGGGGGGUG